GUUCCUUCGCACACCGUCGUCACGUCAAGUCACUGAAGCCUUCGCUUGCGAACUAGCGAGCACAAGAACAGCUGUUAGGAUGACUUGAGGUUGGAGUAGCCACCUCAUUGACUUCUUCGUCAGUCCCCCAUUCCUUACAAGAGGACAGUGAAGUUAGUUUCUCGCUGUUCCUUUCAGAGCACUAGCUAUGUGUUGGUCAACACCUCCAUCACUACAUCGAUGCCUAUGGGGUCUGUAUUUUUUGUCCCUGCUUCGAUCAGGCCUCUUUCUCCUAACAUUUCAGCCCCUCCUACCAUUCCAGUCCCUCCUACACCAUCGAUUUUGAGCGGUCAGCCACCACCGCCCUUUUCAGAUGACUGAGGCCCCGCUGCUCCCAUUGCUUUGAGGCAGGACACCUUCGACCAGAGGUUCUACUGGUUGUCCGACUUAAUUUUGAGGAUCGUAUUAGGCAUCAGCUGGGUGAUAUGUUCAUAAUGGCCCAUAAGAAGGGAGAAUUGUAAAUCUAGGUGGGAGGUCAUAUGGGCAUAGUUGACCAGAUUAUGAGUCACUCUCAAAUAUCAAAGGAAAAGGGAUACAAACUAACAAAACCAGAGGACCAAGGGAGGCAGGGGAGGAAGUUCGUAAGAUUCACACAAGACUCAAUAUAUACUAUUUUUUCAUGUCUACAAGCUCAAGAGCUUGGUUGGCUGCUCACUAUUGCAAAGUUACAUCUCUAGACGCAUCGGCGCCCAAGGAUGCAAUAAUAAGCUCUGACAUAUCUCAGCGUGUCUAUAAUGAAUACAAGCACAUUCGAAACACACAGAGCCAGAACCAGACACAGAGCCUGACUAUCACUAGUAGUUGUCAGUCUGCUCCAGAGCAGUCUGACUACGAGAUCUUUAGGCAGGUUGCUUUAAGAAUGAAAGGGUAUACAACCUGGGCACAAAAGGUAUUGCCUUUAAGAUUGAGCACUCCCGAUCUGCUCAGGGUCUGAGGUCAUUGUCGUUGGACCAUGAUGAACUUGUCAGGCGUAUCAUUGUUAUGACUAAGGAGCUCCGUCUAAUAUGUGAGAGGUAGUAAAGAGUCGAGGCUUUUGUAGAGCGACUGGAGCAGGUAGUAGAUCGUCGUGGCAAUCAAUCUCUGGGUUCACUUCAUGAGAAAGAGGAAGAGGAUGAAGAUGAUGGUGCCCCGUAGGGGUUUAUGUGUUUUUUUUUCAUGUUUGGUAUUUGAACUUGUACAUUACAUAUAUAUGUUCUGUUUA